rnacentral:rRNA from 1 species
UACGUAGGGUGCAAGCGUUAAUCGGAAUUACUGGGCGUAAAGCGUGCGUAGGCGGCUAUGUAAGACAGAUGUGAAAUCCCUGGGCUUAACCUAGGAACUGCAUUUGUGACUGCAUUGCUAGAGUGUGGUAGAGGGAGAUGGAAUUCCGCGUGUAGCAGUGAAAUGCGCAGAUAUGCGGAGGAACACCAAUGGCGAAGGCAAUCUCCUGGACCUGCACUGACGCUCAUGCACGAAAGCGUGGGGAGCAAACAGG